rnacentral:snoRNA from 1 species
UGCCUCCUGCUGCUUACCACAGACAGUGUUCUUAAACUGACUGCAUAGAAAAAGAAAGAAGAGUGAACCUGCCCCAUAUACACGCCAGCCCAGGCCUUAUGCCUUGUGUGAAAGAUAGCAAAAGAAAA